rnacentral:lncRNA from 1 species
AUGGACCCAAUUGUUAAAUGGCGCCGGACAAUCAAAGAAUUAAGAUGCUAUUAUUCCUUUAAUAUUCUUGUGGUAUCGCAUGGCCUGCAUUUAAAUUUUAAGCCAAGUUUGAAACGUAUCUACAUGCUGUACAAGAACAGAAAACACAAUGAUUAUUUAAUUCUACAAACGAAAUUAAAUCAAUCUCUAGCUACCCUUUUUCUGGGGAAUGAAGAAACGGACGAAAAUGAAGCUGGUAAAAUUAAUAUGCAUGUUUUCGAUAGAAAGUUGUAAAUGGUAG